rnacentral:rRNA from 1 species
UACAGAGGUCUCAAGCGUUGUUCGGAUUCAUUGGGCGUAAAGGGUGUGUAGGUGGCGCCGUAAGUCGGGGUGUGAAAUUUCGGAGCUUAACUCCGAAACUGCAUUCGAUACUGCGGUGCUUGAGGACUGGAGAGGAGACUGGAAUUCAUGGUGUAGCAGUGAAAUGCGUAGAGAUCAUGAGGAAGACCAGUGGCGAAGGCGGGUCUCUGGACAGUUCCUGACGCUGAGACACGAAGGCCAGGGGAGCAAACGGG